ACAAUAGUAAUGAUAGAGAUAGUAGCCUACUAGCAAAUUUUCAGAGAGUUGACGUUUGGUGUGAGUUGACAAUGAGCGGUGGGGGAAGAUCACUCUAGAACUGUAUUUCUGAAAGGUAGUAAGAAAUACCGGGGUAGCCUCGUUAUUGGGCUUAGGUUUGAUAGAACUGAUAAGAGGCAUUAUUAUGCAAUUAAGGUGGUAACGCGGGUAUAGCUCGUCCUUGGA
rnacentral:ncRNA from 1 species